rnacentral:lncRNA from 1 species
GUCCGUCGCGGGAGCUGAGCCCACGAGGCCCUGGAGCGCGGUGGCUGGGCCCGUAGCGCCACCUGGCGGCGGAUCAGGACCCCGCGCCCUUGCGUCCCUGGAAGUGGGAGAAGGGGCAGGGGGCUCCACCCUGCACCACCACCCCAGCGCGCUCCCGAGGCCGUUCCCCAAGGAUGCGCGGGCCCCAGGGAGAGCGACGCUGCCCGCGCGGCGCUUUCCUGGCCGCCUGGAGUCCGGGAACGGCGAAUCCCGCUCGCAGCGGACCGAGGCGAGGCGCAGCGGGACGGGAUCGGUGGGAACGGAAACAGCGGUCACCCGGAAGCCCAGAACCAGCGAGUACGCGGUGCAGUGUUCGCUUCCCAAACGUUGUGGGACAAACGCCUUUCAACUGUUUCUGGACGCCCGUGGGCCGGCGUUACCCUGUUGAGGAGGGGUCUAAAGACAGCUUGGAGCGGAGGAGGCUCCCUUUGGAACAGAGAUCUACCAAGGAGGCAGCUUUCAAAAGGGAAAACAUUUAUUCAGUUGUAUAA